AGGGGCAUCAGGGGUGUGGGGGGCUGCAGGGAUGGGUAGGGGGGGCUGUGGGUUGGGAGUGAGGGGCACCAUCAUAGCCCAGGGGAGCAGGGUACUGCAAUUUGGUGAGUGAGGGACACUGGCAGGGCUGGGGUCAGUGGGUUGGGAGUGAGGGGCAGCAGCAGGGUG